CCGCCUGCGGGGAGCCGCCCCUGGCUCGGCUCGGCUCGGCUCGGCUCGGCUCGGCUCGGCCCGGCCCGGCCCGGGAGUGCCGCCGCCCCGAACGGAGCAGCCGCCGGCCCAGUGAGGGUGAGGGGGGCGCCGCCGCUGCUUGCUGGCUCGUCCCGGCCCGAGGGAACUGUCUGUCCACCCGCACCAUGUUGGACAUGGAGACCUUUGUUGCUCAGCUGUGCACAAGGGAAAUCCCUGAGCCUCCUGCAGUGGCGAGGUGAUGGAGGAGCCUGCGAGCACUGCUCACUGCUUGGACCACCUGGGACCCAUGCUUUCGCAGCUAAAGUGAGAUCUCCUGGCCACACUCCCAUUGUCGGGCAGAAUUGGCCUGAAACAACAACAUAAGAAAAUACUAAUGCCAGUACAAAUAAAUGAGGACUGACAUAAAA